UCGCAUCAACUUAGUUAGUUAUCUUAAAUUUAGAAUAAAAUAAAAACAAAACAAUUUUAUUUUUGUUAUUAUAAAUAUUAAUAAAGAAUAAAAAUAAACUUAGUUGUUAAUAGGAUUGCGCGUGACCAGUUUUUUUGCACCAAAAAUAUGCUUUACGGAGUUAACUUUUCUGCCUUGUAGAGAAGACCGAUUUCAAUAAUUUUUUUUUUUUUUCUGAAAGAUGAAGUCUUUUUACAAGGUGCAUUGGACUUGGAUUUUGUAAAUUUUAUUUUAAAACGCUAAAUUUAGAGCUUUUUUCGACCAAAUGUUUACUAUUUUGUUGUGGUUUUUGGUUACAUCAUGAUGCAAAAUUAAAGUCCUACGUGCCCUAUAGGAAGUUGUUCAACAAAAAUAAAAUAUCGAUAUCGAACGUCUCUAUGAGGCUGUUGAAUUAACCCCGUAAAACAUAUUUUGAGCAAAGAAAUUAAAACUGGAGUUUUAAUUUUUUGUUAGUAUAAGGUUGACAUGCGCGAAAACCAUAGAUAACAAAUAUAUGGACAUGGAAUCCCGAAUGCUAGAAUUUGGAAAAUUUAAGAAGUGGUACUCUGUUUGCUUAUAAAAAAUUCGUGUCCCCGUCACUUUUUAUUAUACAUUAUAAUAUGUAUCUCUUUUUUUUUUUUAAAUAAUUUAAAUAAGUCAAUAAUACAAUUUUUAAAAUAUUUAAUUUAUAUUUAAAGUAAUAUGCAGUCAGUUUUAUAAAAUUUCUUCUUUUUUGCUUUUGCUUCAGCAAACUCGUCAAUUAAAUCCUCGAAGUUAACCUCUCGAACUGUUUCUUGUUCGAUAGAAAGUAAUGGUAGACUACUUUUAACGAUCUUGGGUCAUACUUAUUGUACUUCUUAAAUAGUCUUUAAUCACUUUUAGCUUUGAAAACGAUUGUUCCGCGUUUGCAGAUGUUACAUGAAGAUUAACAUUAAAUAUCUACAAUCUGAAUUUUUAGAAAAAGACCCUUUAGCUUUAGGUUUACUGUGUCAAUUUUAAAUUAUAAAACGUUUAAUUUUAGCAUCUUACAUAGUUUCUUUAAAAUGAAAAAGAUCCGUUUUAUCGGAAGAAGUUUCAAUAAUAUUUUUAAAAAUAAUAUCAAACGAUUUAUUUCAUUCGUACCUUUAGAAGAAAAACAUGGUAAAAUUUCAAAGGUGAAGUCUUCACGGUCAGUUGUUUCACUUGAAGUAUUAUGUUCUACACUUAGAUCAAUAUUAAGCUCGACAUUAUUACUAUUAAUAAUUAUAACUUUAUUUUUAGUUUCACAAGGAAUGUUAGAAAAAAAAACUACUUAUUUUGGACAAUUUUAAUAAUUUUUUUUUGUUCUUCUAUCUUCUUUUUACGCUUUUCAUAACCACUAGGUAUUUUUUUCGACAUUUUCACAAUAUUAAUUGCGAAUAAAAUUCAAGACAAAGUACGAACUACGAAGACAAAAUCGAUCAACUAAGAACGGUUACAACACAAUGACUUCAAUUCACAAAAUAAUAUCGAAAAACGAUGGAUGUUUGUCUGGGAUUUGUAUUAUAACGAAUCGAGUAAUCGACAAUUGCCAAUACGGUUUCUU
rnacentral:lncRNA from 1 species